GCCAGCAGCGCGGCCGAGCGCGGGCGCCCGUCCCCCGGCACGGAGCACUGCGGAUGCGGCGCGGGGCCGGCGCGGGGCUCCGGGCGCGCUCGGGGGUCGUGAGCGCCGCGCCCCGCGCCCCCGCGCGCCCCCCGCCCGCCCGCGCGCCCCGCCGGGGCCAUGCAGUCGCUUAUCUCCCCGGUGACCAAGGCGAUCCUGGUGGCCCUGUUCAUCUUCGCAAUCCUGCUCAUCCUGUACGUGAUACUCUGGUACAUCUGCCGCGAUGUGGACUGCGACCACGGCAUCUGAGCCCCGCGGCGCCCUGGGCGCCCCGCCCCGGGCAUGGGGGCCGCGCGCCCGCCGCCGGGCCGUGACCUUCAGGGACGGAGCGCGGAGAGCCGGGCCCCUGGAGGGACGGAGAGUUCUGGUGGCCGUGCAGUCUCUGUUCACCUGUUCUCCAGAGGUGAUGAGAACAUCUCCAUCGCGGGCCACCACGGGCAGCCCAGGACUCCAACGUAACGGGGUGCAUCCCUGCAGCUCAGUGCUCGGCGCUUUUCUGGAGACAGCCGAGGAGCAUGCCCCAUCCCAGCCACACUGUGGGGGUGAAGGGUGGGGUGACCGCCCAUGAGGAUUACGGCCAUCCCCCCGUCACUCAUGUUGCCAAGCCAUGACCAGGCGGCCAGGACUCGUGGGCAGUGUCUCCUCCGGGGCCAUGCUGCCAUCCGUAACCUCCAUACACCCUUGUGGUCCCAUCCAGCCAUCCCUGCCCGCCCGCCUGGCCCAGUCCGUCGUGAAGUUUCGUCAGCCUUUCGCGUGUGCAUAGUCCCAACUCCCAGGGGUUCCGGCGCCGGUCGGAAGGGUUCUCCCGCUCAUUCCUGGCUAGGCAAGUUCAGAGGACCAUCUGCUUCAAGUUAUAGCGUCGUUAAGGUAGGUGCAACGGGGGCCUGACCCACUUAAUCUCAGAGGCAGUCCAUGCUGUAAAACGCACAGGAACCACACCCGGGGCCUCCCCGGUCUCCUCGUGUGUGCAGAGCAAACGCUCCGAGGAAGAGACGCAAGGAACGCCCAUCCUCCUUGUUGCCAAAUUACCCCGAAUGUGUUCAUCUCUGCUGCAAGCAGAAGACGGCAUGUUCUGGGAGGAUCGAGCGACCCUUUAAGAUACACACCAGAGAUUUUGCACGGGCCAUCAGACGGUUCCGCAAACUCGUAGACACCCAUCUAACGUUAGUUACGCGGACACGCGGCACAACGCAUCAGGCGCUUUCUCCAGGGCGUCAGGCGGGGAAGUUGCAUCGUGCAGUCCGGCCACCGCGAAAGACGUUGAGCGGUCUUUCCUCCACUGGGUUUCAAUGAAAACUCGCGCGGGUCUCCAUGAAUGUCCGCGGCCGCGUGCCAGCCAGCAACAGCCACCCGCCCCGUCCCGUCCGUGUGCACCCCGGUGAGCAGACACGCUCUCCCUCAACGCGACCACCCUUCUCUUCCGCAGGUGUGAUGAAUGGCGCCUCUGUGUUGUUUUGUUAUAGCUUCCGCCUCCCCACGUGGAGAGGGCCAAUAAAGACAAAGCUGAGACAUUAUGGCUAUUCCAGAAAAUAAAAUAUUUUUGAAACCGCA